CGCGUAGGUGGCCUUUUAAGUCAGAUGUGAAAUCCCCGAGCUUAACUUAGGAAUUGCAUUCGAUACUGGGUGGCUAGAGUAUGGGAGAGGAUGGUAGAAUUCCAGGUGUAGCGGUGAAAUGCGUAGAGAUCUGGAGGAAUACCGAUGGCGAAGGCAGCCAUCUGGCCUAAUACUGACGCUGAGGUGCGAAAGCAUGGGGAGCAAACAGGAUUAGAUACCCCAGUA
rnacentral:rRNA from 1 species